rnacentral:rRNA from 1 species
GAAUUUAUAGAUUUAUUUUUAUUAAAAAUUUAUUUUUUAUUAAUUAAAAUAUUUAAUUUUUUAUUAUUUAUUAGAAAAAAUUUAUUUUAUUAUAGUUUAAAGUAUUGAGAAAGAAAUUUAUUAAAUAAAUGAAAGAAGAAUUUAAUUUUUGUACCUUGUGUAUCAGGGUUAAUUAAAAAAUAUUUUUAUAUAAAAUUUUCUCGAAUUUAAAAGAGCUAAUUAAUAAUAAAUUUUAUUGUAAAAUAAAUAUUUAUAAUUAUUAAUUAGAAAUGAAAUGUUAUUCGUUUUUAAAUAUAUCUAGUUUUUAAAGAAAUGAAUUUAAUUCAUUUAUUAGAAAUUAAAAUUUUAAAUUUUUAAUUUUUUAUUUCUAAUAAAAAAUUUUUUUAGGGAUAAGCUUAAAAAAAUAUUUUUAUAAUAUAUUUAUAUUUUAAUAAUUUUUAGGAUUAAAAAUUUCUAUUAAUAUAAAAUUGUUAUAAUUAAUUAUUAGAUUAAUAUUAUUUAUAUUUUAUUUAAAUAUUAUAUUUAAAUAUAAAUUUUAAUAUAAAAAAUUUAGUAAUAAUGAUUAAAUUAGUAUAGGAUAAAUAUUAAUUUUAAAUUUAAGUUUAAAAUUAAGGUUAAUUUAAGGAAUUCGGCAAAAAUAUUUUUCACCUGUUUAAUAAAAACAUGUCCUUUUGAUUAUAAUUUAAGGUCUAAUCUGCCCACUGAUUAAUUAAAUGGCCGCGGUAUUUUGACCGUGCAAAGGUAGCAUAAUAAUUAGUUUCUUAAUUAGAAGCUGGAAUGAAUGAUUGGAUGAGAAAAUAACUGUCUUAAUUUAAUUUUUUUAGAAUUUUAUUUUUAAGUUAAAAAGCUUAAAUUUUAUUAAAAGACGAGAAGACCCUAUAGAGUUUAAUUUUAAGUAUAAAUAUUUAAUUAUUGAUUAUGAUUUUUUUAUUUAUUUUUAAAAUUUUGUUGGGGUGAUAGAAAAAUUUUAUUAACUUUUUUUAUAUU